rnacentral:misc_RNA from 1 species
AACGCACAUUGCGCCCAUUAGUAUUCUAGUGGGCAUGCCUGUUCGAGCGUCAUUUCAACCCUUAAGCCCUUGUUGCUUAGCGUUAGGAGCCUACAAUACUUAUUGUAGCUCCCUAAAGUUAGUGGCGGAGUCGGUUCACACUCUAGACGUAGUACUUUUUACCUCGCCUGUAGUGAGACCAGUUUCUUGCCGUAAAACACCCAAAUUUUUUUUUAAAAAGUUGACCUCGGAUCAGGUAGGAAUACCCGCUGAACUUAA